rnacentral:rRNA from 1 species
AGCGUAGACGGCACGGCAAGCCAGAUGUGAAAGCUCGGGGCUCAACCCCGGGACUGCAUUUGGAACUGCUGAGCUAGAGUGUCGGAGAGGCAAGUGGAAUUCCUAGUGUAGCGGUGAAAUGCGUAGAUAUUAGGAGGAACACCAGUGGCGAAGGCGGCUUGCUGGACGAUGACUGACGUUGAGGCUCGAAAGGCUGGGAGCAAACA